ACCAGACUCCUACGGGAGGCAGCAGUGGGGAAUAUUGCACAAUGGGGGAAACCCUGAUGCAGCGACGCCGCGUGAGUGAAGAAGUAUUUCGGUAUGUAAAGCUCUAUCAGCAGGGAAGAAAAUGACGGUACCUGAUUAAGAAGCCCCGGCUAACUACGUGCCAGCAGCCGCGGUAAUACGUAGGGGGCAAGCGUUAUCCGGAUUUACUGGGUGUAAAGGGAGCGUAGACGGUUACGCAAGUCUGGAGUGAAAGGCGGGGGCCCAACCCCCGGACUGCUUUGGAAACUGUAUAACUGGAGUGCAGGAGAGGUAAGUGGAAUUCCUAGUGUAGCGGUGAAAUGCGUAGAUAUUAGGAGGAACACCAGUGGCGAAGGCGGCUUACUGGGCUUUUACUGACGCUGAGGCUCGAAAGCGUGGGGAGCAAACAGGAUUAGAUACCCCUGUA
rnacentral:rRNA from 1 species